rnacentral:rRNA from 1 species
GACAGAGGGUGCAAACGUUGUUCGGAAUUACUGGGCGUAAAGCGCGUGUAGGCGGCUCUGCAAGUCGGGUGUGAAAUCCCAUGGCUCAACUAUGGAAGUGCACUCGAAACUGCAGGGCUAGAGUCCUGGAGAGGAAGGUGGAAUGCUUGGUGUAGAGGUGAAAUUCGUAGAUAUCAAGCGGAACACCAGUGGCGAAGGCGACUCGCUGGACUGAUACUGACGCUGAGGUGCGAAAGCGUGGGGAGCAAACAGG